rfam:Selaginella moellendorffii unplaced genomic scaffold SELMOscaffold_6, whole genome shotgun sequence.
GCAGUCUUAGCUCAGCAGGUAGAGCGCGUGGCUUUUAACCACGUGGUCGUGCGUUCGAUUCUCACAGGCGGCG